rnacentral:tRNA from 140 species
GGCGGAUGUAGCCAAGUGGAUCAAGGCAGUGGAUUGUGAAUCCACCAUGCGCG